rnacentral:rRNA from 1 species
ACACGUAGGAGGCAAGCGUUAUCCGAAUUUACUGGGCGUAAAGCGCGUGCAGGCGGUUCGGUAAGUUGGAUGUGAAAUCUCCUGGCUCAACUGGGAGAGGUCGUUCAAUACUGUCGGACUAGAGGAUGGUAGGGGGAGGUGGAAUUCCCGGUGUAGUGGUGAAAUGCGUAGAUAUCGGGAGGAACACCAGUGGCGAGAGCGGCCUCCUGGACCAUUCCUGACGCUCAGACGCGAAAGCUAGGGGAGCGAACGGGAUUAGACACCCCGGUAGUCCUAGCUGUAAACGAUGUGGACUUGGCGUCGGUGGGGUAAAAGCCAUCGGUGCCGGAGCUAACGCGGUAAGUCCACCGCCUGGGGACUACGGCCGCAAGGUUAAA